rnacentral:misc_RNA from 1 species
GUCCAGAUCCGAGAUCGGGACCCGGUCUAAUUUCGGGUCAUCGGUGCGGGCGGAGUCAAUGAAGCAGCAACCAGUUUAUGGGAAUACGACUAAGUCAGAUGAGGCUGGGUCAUCGGCGAGUUUCAGGACUGGAGAGUUCUCUGAUAUGAAGCUGGUUGUGAGGCAUAAGGAUUUAAGAGAGAUCGUGGAGGCUAUUAAGGAGAAUUUCGACAAGGCUGCAGCGGCGGGAGACCAGGUCUCGGAGAUGCGCGAGAUCAGCAGGGCUCAG